UCCAGACUCCUACGGGAGGCAGCAGUGAGGAAUAUUGGUCAAUGGGCGAGAGCCUGAACCAGCCAAGUCGCGUGAAGGAUGACGGCCCUACGGGUUGUAAACUUCUUUUGUCAGGGAGCAAUUGAGUCCACGUGUGGGCUUAGCGAGAGUACCUGAAGAAAAAGCAUCGGCUAACUCCGUGCCAGCAGCCGCGGUAAUACGGAGGAUGCGAGCGUUAUCCGGAUUUAUUGGGUUUAAAGGGUGCGUAGGCGGAAUAUCAAGUCAGCGGUAAAAAUUCGGGGCUCAACCCCGGGGCUGCCGUUGAAACCGGAGCGCUAGAAUUCCGAUGCCGUCGGAGGAAUGUGUGGUGUAGCGGUGAAAUGCAUAGAUAUCACACAGAACACCGAUUGCGAAGGCAUCUGACGAAUCGGAGAUUGACGCUGAUGCACGAAAGCGUGGGUAUCGAACAGGAUUAGAUACCCCCGUAU
rnacentral:rRNA from 1 species